rnacentral:rRNA from 1 species
GACGAACGCUGGCGGCGUGCUUAACACAUGCAAGUCGAACGGUGAAGCGCCUUCCUUUUUGGUGGGUGUGGAUGAGUGGCGAACGGGUGAGUAACACGUGAGUAACCUGCCCCCUUCUUCUGGAUAACCGCAUGAAAGUGUGGCUAAUACGGGAUAUUCUGGGUCUGUCGCAUGAUGGGUCUGGGAAAGAUAUUGUUUCGGUGGGGGAUGGGCUCGCGGCCUAUCAGCUUGUUGGGGGGGUGAUGGCCUACCAAGGCGGUGACGGGUAGCCGGCCUGAGAGGGUGGACGGUCACACUGGGACUGAGACACGGCCCAGACUCCGACGGGAGGCAGCAGUGGGGAAUAGUGCACAAUGGGCGCAAGCCUGAUGCAGCGACGCCGCGUGAGGGAUGGAGGCCUGCGGGUUGUGAACCUCUUUCGCCAGUGAAGCAGGCCUGCCUCGUUUGUGGGUGGGUUGACGGUAGCUGGAUAAGAAGCGCCGGCUAACUACGUG